GACGUAGGGCGCGAGCGUUUGUCCGGAAUUAUUGGGCGUAAAGAGCUCGUAGGCGGUCUGUCGCGUCUGCUGUGAAAACUCAGGGCUUAACCCUGAGCUUGCAGUGGGUACGGGCAGACUAGAGUGCGGUAGGGGGAGACUGGAAUUCCUGGUGUAGCGGUGAAAUGCGCAGAUAUCAGGAGGAACACCGGUGGCGAAGGCGGGUCUCUGGGCCGUAACUGACGCUGAGGAGCGAAAGCAUGGGGAGCGAACAGG
rnacentral:rRNA from 1 species